rnacentral:lncRNA from 1 species
UAGGUUAUAUGCUAGUUAGAAUCUGGUGGAGAGCUUGUUUCAUACAGUGAUAAUCUAAGGAGAAUUUCGGAUAGCAGAGCUUAUUGUUAUCUAGGGCUAAUAAUUUCAUUGAAGGAGAAAUAAUAAUUACUUGAUUAAUUGAUUGUUGUACUUGGUGAAACUGAACUGCAGAACUGAAGUUUUACAUAUUUGGUUAAUUUUAUCGUUAAUUCUUGUUCUCUUAGUUUAAAAAUAAUUUUCAAAACCCCCAUCUUUAUUUUCUGUUAAAAUAGUAGAAUAAUUCUAAAACAACUUUACUCUCUGUGGGAUCGAUCCUUACUUGCUAUUGUGCUAAUUAUUAUAAAUUGUGGAGUGAAAGUGAGG